AUAGUUUUGUUAUUGCAUUACAAUAAAUCUUACACUUGAGAACACUUUAAAUAAUAACUAGCGAAAUUUUAAAGCGUCGGCAAGAAUAAUUUCAAAGCGUCGAGUAAAGAGUUCGUUAAGUAAAUAUGUCGGGAUAAAUAUACCGACGCUUUAAUAUAAUGUCGAAAAAUUUUUAUCAGUAUUUGAUAAAAAUAUGUUUAUUAGCGACGUUUAAUUAUGGUGUCGGCACAUACCAAAUAUUAAAAACGCUAGAAUAGAGUGUCGUCUAAAAAACAUUAUCUAAAAUAUAUUUUGUUGUAGUGCUGUAUUGUUC
rnacentral:lncRNA from 1 species